rnacentral:lncRNA from 1 species
CUAAAGCUAGAAUAACCAUAAAUCAACAGUCCAGCAGCCUACAUAAUUCAACUUAAUCAGUCCAGUUAUACACCCCAAUUAAUUACAGCAUACAGCAACCAAACUACAUAAGUUAUAUAAAAACAUAAUGAAAUUAUGAGGGCAACAGAUCUAUGGCAGAAAACUUCAGUUUCAUUUUCGCUAUUCCGACAAGAGACAAUACAUUGAAACAGUCUGAGAUAUGUACCUGGAAAUCGAAUCAAAUAGAAAAGGAGAGGUCAGCAGCAAGUAGUCAACUGGUAUUCAACUAUCAACAAGCAGCAGUAACGGGCAGAAAUCAACAACAGCCCAGAGCUUAACUCGACCAAACCAGGAAUAGUAUGAACCCAGUAGAAACCAAAAAAAAAAAGAACACCCAAACACAACCUUGCCCAAACCAACUGGUAUUGAAUUUUGAUUCAAACAAACAGAUCCAAACCUAUAAACGACUCCAAGUAUAGAGCAUAAGUAAAAGGAAGAAUGGUUCUAGCUAUUUCAGAUCUUAAGCGAGGCAAUGAAAUAAUAGCUAUUCUUUUUCAACUCCCAAAACUCUCCAAAAUGAAUUCGGCCCCUGUAUAUCCAGUGUAUCCAUAGUGUAUAUCGAGUGUAUACUACUCUCUCCGCCCCCUUUCUUUCUUCUCUAUGUGUUUUAUUUAAAGAUCAAAACUCCCUCCCCCCUUUCAAAUUUUCUCCUUUACAACUUGUAUAUCCUCCAACAUGUAUCCCUUUUGCCUUUUAUCAUUAUGCUCCCAUGUUAUUAUGUUGUGUUCCCCACUAAUUAUUAAACAAAUGCAUUAUUUUAAUGGUACAUUAGUACUUAGUGGACAGAACACUCAAACUACCCAUUUCUUCAUGUUUUCAAUUCCCAAAUUACCCCCUCGAAUCUCUGAAAUUACUAUCAUAAUCGUUCGACUAAGGCCUUGGGAGUUUUAAUUAGUUACAAAAUGAGGCAAACAUCACAGUGCAGAUAAAUAUGAGUGAAAACAAUCAAACAGUAAACACACACUGGAAAAAGAUGAAAAUCCGGAUUUUUAGCACAAAUUAGAAACAAUUCAACUAUAAGACAACCUGACUUCUAAUGCUUAAUGGUGAUUUUUGAUUAUAACUAAAAGAAAAAUGAAGCAUUCAAGCCACUGAAUCACAAGAAAGAAAAGCAACCUAAAAUCUAAAAUCAUACACUUAAAGACACGGACUAUAACAACAAUAAGACUAACAAUUAAUCGAUUGAAUUACUCAAACGAACAUUGGAGUAUUUAAACUAACAAGAAUCAGAAAAAGAGGCGGGAUAUUUACUGGAUUAAGAACCUAUAAUUAAAUUAAACUAAAACCUAAAAAAGAACCUGAUUACAGCUUAACAAAGAUAAUCAAAUAAAAAGAAAAAGGAGAAACUAAGAAGAACUUACUGGUUUUCGGAUCCCACCAGCAUGCCUUUUGAAAUUGACUUCCAGUUAGUAUUAUCUGUCUAUUUCGUCAAAAAUAGGCUUAUAAUACUAACUAGAACUCAUUCGACCCUGGCAGCCCUCGAAACAGUCUCGAACCGUUCGAACCCUAGAUCCGCCAUUCGACGAGUUUUACUCGAAUUCGGGAUGAGGAGGUCAAAGGGGAUUACUGGGUGUUAGUUUGGGGCUGAUUGGGUAGGUUCGCGUUUUGCUUGAUUCUUCGAUCGAAGAUUCGAAACAGGCUCGGAUGAUUCGAGGUCAAAGGGGUAUAGAUUUGGACUGAAGGGGUCAAAGUGGUUUAGGGGUGUGAGUUUGAGGGGCAUCGAACCUCAGGCCGCCGGGUUUUCAGGUGAAGGGAACGAGGGCGGCUAGGGUUUGGUGGGUCGUUUGAUUCGUCUCUGAAAGAGAUGACUGGGGGGGUUGGAAAUGAGAGGGGGUAAUGGGUCUGGGGUGUUUUGGUAUAUUAGAUUGAAAGGGUUAAUGUGAGCCGUUGGAUUACAAAAAUCUAACGACUGUGAUCAAACCCAAGCGAAAUGGGGUUGUUUUGUUUAAGUGCUUAGGCGAGGUGGGUAUAGCAACGGGUAAAGGAGAGAUGAUCUUGGCCGUUGAUGGAUUGGGAUGGACGGCUGAGAUUGGGUGUGACAGAUACGACGUCAUUUGGACGUCGUAUUGCCAGGUCGGUUGGACCAGGUAAGAGGGGUAUUCGGACUGGGCCUGGAUAUAUUGUUUGGGCCUUGUCCGAGUUUAUAAACUCUUUCUUCUCUUGUUUCUUCUUUUUUUUUCUUUCUCUCUUUUUUUUAAAUCCUAAUAAAUUGUAAAGCCAAAAAUUAGCUUAGAAAAUACUAAUUAACCCUUAAUAAUAAUUAUCACCCAAAAUUAAAUACAAAGACAAUCACACAAUUUGACAUUAAACACUAAAAUGCGAAGACGUUAUUUUUCGAUUUUUUAUUUUCGUAAAACAAAUUACUGUUUAAUUAAUCCUAAUUUGUAAAUGCAAAUGCAACACAUAUAUUUUUGUAUUUUUCAUUACUAAACAUUCAUGGACAAAUGCCAAUAAUACAAGAAAAAUAAAACAAAAUUCACAACAAUUGCAAACAAACAAAAAUUAUUUUAUUUAGAAUUUUUGGGAGUAGUUCUCGUAGAGCAAAAAUCACGUACUUACAGUUGUCAAGUAAUUUUAGAAGAAUGCCUCGAGACCCCGGGGAUGGGAGUCCACGACCGAGUUCCCGACCUCGGGUCUCGUCGAGGCCCGACUUAGAGAAAAUGGAGAUCGAAGCCAGGACAGAGGGGGAAGCUUCCAAGGCACAUGGCUAAGUCUGACAGGGUCGGUCUAUCCAGAGCCUAUGCUGAGGCAUCGCGUCAAGCUAUCCCAUCUCCUUACUUUGUAAUUAAUGCCCAUGUGCUUGUAGCCGAGUUCCCCUCCUAUAUAAAGGAGACUCACGCUACCUUGUAAUGGGCUGAUACUGCUCUAUUUCCUCCAUAAGUGCAAUAAUAUCUCUCUCUUUUCUUUCUAACUUAUUUGUUCUCACUGGCCCGAGGUUACCUUAAUAUACAUCACUUUCUUACUUGUUCUUCAUCACAUAAGCUCAGAAUUGGCCGUAAAGAGCCUUGUUUAAUUAUAUCUUCAACUGUUAUCACAUUUCCGACUAUCCCUGAUAGCUCGAAUUCAACCCUGACUUUGACCCCGAGGUCCCCCAUCUCGGUUUAGCUUGCAUUUCAUCGUUAAACUCCAUAUUAUCAGCAUCAACUGCUCUAACAACUAGCUCGGGAAUAGAUUACGUAUUUUUAGAAUCUCAUUUACAAAUUUAAUUAUUGUUACAAUUUUCAUGGUAAAUACCGGAAUAUUAUUAUUAUAUUAUUGUUCCUUUGCCGGGAUUCUAUUGUGAUUUUAUGUAUUCCCUCGUAUUGCUUUGUGAUUGUUGCUUGAGUAAGGAAGAGUGUAAAAGCAUGAAGGGUGAUGUGGUGCAUGAUAUUUGUGAGUAAGUGUUAAUGCACGAAGGGUGAUGCCGUGCCGAUAUUAUAAAUGUAAAAGCACAACGGAUGAUGACGUGCCAUGAUAUGAGUGAUAAUGCACGAAGGAUAAUGCCGUGCCAUGAUUAUGUGAGGUAAAAGCACGAAAGGUGAUGCCGUGCUGAAUAUAUUGAUUUUUAUGGUAAGAACGAGAGUAAAAGCACGAAGGGUGAUGUCGUACACUUGAUACUGUCUUUCCUUAUUCUUGCUCAUAAUUGAUUUAUGGUGUACCUUAUGCUUUUUUACUGAAAUUCUAUUUGUACAUGAUAUUCCCCGCAGUAUGUUCCCCCUUCCCAUCUUUAACUACUAGUUUCUAUUAUUAUUAUUUGUUGUAUAUGAUAUAACUGCACAGGUUUAUUUGGUAGUCUUGUCCUAGCCUCGUCACUACUUCGCCGAGGUUAGGCUCGACACUUACCAGCACAUGGGGUCAGUUGUGCUGAUACUACACUCUGUACUAUGUGCAGAUCCCGGUGCUAGAGCUUUUGGAGCAGUGAGGUUGCUGCCUUCAGUCCAGCAGUGGAGACCCGAGGUAGUCCUGCAGACGUUCGCAGGCCUUGGCGUCCCCUUCCAUCUUUCUAUUCUGUUUUUAUGUAUUUCAGAGACAGAUUGUAUUUUUCUUUCAGACCACUGUUUGUUGUAUACGUAGAUAGUCCGUGACAUUGUGACACCAAUUCUGGGUAGAGUUGUAUGUUGGAUUCUGUACUAUUUGGUUAAACUAUUAGUUCUCAUCUUUCGUAUUUCUGUUUAUUAUAAUCAUUCCGUUGUGGAUCACAUGUAAAUUCGUAAAUUCUAGAAGGUUAAGGAAAAAGGGUAAUAAAUCUAUAAUACUCGGCUUGCCUAGCUUUCACGAGUAGUUGUCAUCAUGACUCCCGAGGGUAGGAAAUUCAGGUCGUGACAACACAUUUAUCCCGUCGAGAUUUGAGAACUCUAGGACUCGCUCUAAGUUUAGGUUGAUAGGUUCGUCUUCCUCCUCCAUAGCUGCUUCUACUGGCCUUGGCACUUGUUCUGCAUGGUUUUGUAAAGGGGAUACUAGAUGGAACACUUGAGGGAUUGGUUGUUCCUGGUUCUCCUGGUUGAUCUCCCAUGGUAAGAAUAUGAGAUUGAGUUGAGAGUUCAUUUCUGUACGGAAGAAUGAUAGGUCUAAGGGAGCAUUUUGUGGGUUGAUUGGGUUGAAUUGAGGUGGCAUAUUUCAUUGAUUCCUUAUUGCAUGCACCAUUUGUGGGUUCAACGAGGGUGCCAUUGGUUGAAUAAUAUUGUUGAACCAAACCUGAUUUAGGUAAUUGUUCAUGGCUAGCUUCAUUCCCUCCGUUAUAAGUUAGGCUAAGUAAUGAGUGUUGUGGAGUAUCACUAUUUCUUCCUGGCCAUUGAUUGGCAUUGUGAAAGAGAUUGCAUGUCCCGUUAGACCUAACUCCAUCCACGAGACAGGUUGGUAGUCAUGUGCUAGUGGAGGUUGGGCAUAGACAAUCUGAGGGUUCUCUAGUGGGUGUAAGGGUGGAAGGUUUUCCAUUAUUGGUAGUCUGUGUUGUCGAAGGAUUUGGAUUAUAUAGGUUCUUCUUCUUAGGAUUGAUGGAAGUCUUGGCAUCUUUAAUGGAGGGUAGAGUAUUUAAUAAGCUUGUGGUAGGUGUGGGAUUGAUGCUACUGGAGGAGUGGGAGGGAUCGGGGGAGAGGGUAAUGAUUGAGAUUUCUAAGUGCAUGGCUUUUGGUUGCUCAAUGUCUAGUUGUAUAGGAAGAGCCUUAUUUUCGUCUUCUAAGGUAAUGGUCAUUCGGUUGCUUUUGUUUUCCUUGGUUGCCAUUUGGCAAACAUGCGUUGGUGGGAGGAUAUUGCCAUAUCUAGGGAGUAGAUUUUGUCCAUUCCCUUUGGUUAACUUAAGAUUAUGGCUAGAUUUUUGUUUAAGAGUGUUAAUAGGUGUAGUAGGGUUAUAAUUAUUAGGAGGGUUAGUUUUGUCUGUUUGGGUGUCAUUUUGCAUGGCACUGUUUUUAUCUAUUUUGUUUACCUUAGUAAAGGCCAUGUUAGAGUCCAGCAUGUUAAUAUCUUUGUUUUGAGUGGCUAAGUAUUCACUUGCAUGGCUAUUAUUGGUUUUUAAUAGGUUAUUAGAAUUAUCAUUAGUGAUUUCUUGUAAAACUGUUUGCUUAGUGUUUAGGAGAGAGAAAUAAUUUUUAAUAGGAAUAGUGGUUUGUUCCUUAACUUUGUUGGUCAGAUUAUUAGCAUUUGCAGGUGGUAUGGAGUUGAUGGAAUCUUUAGACUUGUAUUGUAAUAUUUGGGUAUCCAAAUACUUACAUGUAUUGGCAUUAAACAGCUUGACGGA